UGUGGUCAGACUCUUGUCUCCUCCCUCUGGCUCCUCCCUCUUCCACCCCUCCCUUAUUUCUCUCACCAGUUGCCCCGGGUAGCCUGGGAGAAGCACCCACUCAGACCCUGACCUGACCUCCAUCAUACACCCAGGUGUGGAGCCUCCGGGCAACUUGAGCCCCACCACCAUGGGCUCUUCUCUUGGGGCAGGGGGCAGAGCCGUUCUGGGCCUCAUGGCCCUCCUCUGGGCCCUCGUGGUUCCAGGCAUCCAGCAGGAGAUCAGGGUGUUCCAGCGGUCCGUGAUGGUGGGGCACACGGGUGGAGCUAUCACUAUGCCCUGUCAGAUCAGUAAGUCUGUGGAUUACGUCCACUGGUUCCGCCAGCUGGAGGGCCAGGCCCCUGAGAGGCUUCUCUAUCUAGCCUUGUCCAAGCGGGAUGUGCAGUGGGAUUCAGUCCUAAGAGGUGAUAAAGUCAACGCGGCCCACGGCACGGAUGGCAAGAGCUGCACCAUGUCCUUGAGGAAGCUGGCGAAGAGCGACGAAGGACUGUACUACUGUGCUACCUGGGAAUCGGCACAGCAGUGUGCGCAGCCCCGGGAUCUGCACAAAAAGCGCUGAGACCCACUGCUCUCCCAGUCCUGGCAACUGCCACCGCCUCCAGGUCCCUUAGGUUGCCUUGGGGAGAUCUCUCAGCUUCCUGAUGACUCCCCCCACUGUAGGGCUUCUGCAAAUAAAAUCUGA